rnacentral:rRNA from 1 species
UGGGGAAUAUUGCACAAUGGGCGCAAGCCUGAUGCAGCCAUGCCGCGUGUAUGAAGAAGGCCUUCGGGUUGUAAAGUACUUUCAGCGAGGAGGAAGGCGGUAAGGUUAAUAACCUUAUCGAUUGACGUUACUCGCAGAAGAAGCACCGGCUAACUCCGUGCCAGCAGCCGCGGUAAUACGGAGGGUGCAAGCGUUAAUCGGAAUUACUGGGCGCAAAGCGCACGCAGGCGGUCUGUCAAGUCGGAUGUGAAAUCCCCGGGCUCAACCUGGGAACUGCAUUCGAAACUGGCAGGCUAGAGUCUUGUAGAGGGGGGUAGAAUUCCAGGUGUAGCGGUGAAAUGCGUAGAGAUCUGGAGGAAUACCGGUGGCGAAGGCGGCCCCCUGGACAAAGACUGACGCUCAGGUGCGAAAGCGUGGGGAGCAAACA